GACGAACGCUGGCGGCGUGCUUAACACAUGCAAGUCGAGCGGAGCGGCGAACGGGUGAGUAUGGCGCGAGUAACUGCCCCCCCCUCUGGGAUAACAGUUGGAAACGGCUGCUAAUACUGGAUAGUGGGGGAUGACUCGCGUCUUAUCACCUUGUUGGUGGGGUAGUGGCUGACCAAGGCGACGACGGGUAGCCGGCCUGGGAGGGGGCCCGGCGAAAUUGGGCUGAGGUACGGCCCAAACUCCUACGGGAGGCAGUAGGGGGAAAUAUUGCACAAUAAGGGAAACCCUGAUGCAGAGACGCCGCGUGCGGAAUAACGGGCUUCGAGUUGUAAACCGCUGUCAACCAUGACGCGGUAGUGACAGAGGAAGCACCGGCUAACUACGUGCCAGCAGCCGCGGUAAUAC
rnacentral:rRNA from 1 species